rnacentral:pre_miRNA from 1 species
UUACUACUCCCUCCGUUCCAAAUUACUUGUCUUGAAUUUGUCUAGAUACAGAUGUAUCUAGACUCAUUUUAGUGUUAGAUACAUCUGUAUCUAAAUAAAUCUAAGACAAGUAAUUCGGAACGGAGGGAGUAGAAA